GUAACGGCGAGUGAAGCGGCAACAGCUCAAAUUUGAAAUCUGGCUCUCGGGCCCGAGUUGUAAUUUGUAGAGGAUGCUUUUGGUGAGGUGCCUUCCGAGUUCCCUGGAACGGGACGCCAUAGAGGGUGAGAGCCCCGUCUGGUUGGACACCGAUCCUCUGUAAAGCUCCUUCGACGAGUCGAGUAGUUUGGGAAUGCUGCUCUAAAUGGGAGGUAUAUGUCUUCUAAAGCUAAAUACCGGCCAGAGACCGAUAGCGCACAAGUAGAGUGAUCGAAAGAUGAAAAGAACUUUGAAAAGAGAGUUAAACAGUACGUGAAAUUGUUGAAAGGGAAGCGCUUGUGACCAGACUUGGGCUUGGUUGAUCAUCCGGGGUUCUCCCCGGUGCACUCUUCCGGCUCAGGCCAGCAUCAGUUCGCCCUGGGGGAUAAAGGCUUCGGGAAUGUGGCUCUCUCCGGGGAGUGUUAUAGCCCGCUGCGUAAUACCCUGUGGCGGACUGAGGUUCGCGCAUUCGCAAGGAUGCUGGCGUAAUGGUCAUCAGUGACCCGUCUUGAAACACGGACCCCUGUGUGAAAUU
rnacentral:rRNA from 1 species